ensembl:lncRNA LINC02146 long intergenic non-protein coding RNA 2146
AGGAAAAAGCCGCCCGUAUGAUUCAAUUACCUUCCACCAGGUGCCUCCCACUGUAACACUUGCUGUCUAGGGCUUUGGAGGUCAUUGGUACUCCCCGCUAGAUGCUUCCGUGGGGCUCACAGAGUUUUGUUCCAGCUGACACCCAAAAGCGCUCACCUGCGUGCCCCUUCCCGGGAAGGGUUGAGCGCCCACAGGUUCCAGUGAUAUGGAUGGUGACAUUGCAAUGAUCUUUCCUCUUGCUUACUUCAAUGAACUUGAAAAUAUGGUUGCAUUUUAAAAGGCCUGUGCUACCUUUAUGAGCUGUAGCACUCACUGCAGAGGUCUGCGGCUUCACUCCUGAAGUCAAGUCGGGGAGACCAUGAAACCACCGGAAGGAAGAAACCCCGGACACAUCUGAACAUGUGAAGGAACAAACUCCUGACACAACAUCUUUACGAACUGUAACGCUCACCGUGAGGGUCUGCGGCUUCAUUCUUGAAGUCAGCGAGACCGAGAACCCACUGGAAGGAACCAAUUCCAGACACAUUAUCACUAAUUAAACCUAUGUCUGUACCUUCUAGCAUUAUAUAUAAAAAGUGCAACAUAGAAAACAAAAUUUAAAUCCACAACUAUUUAAUAUUCACAACUUCUGGAUUUAUCUCAUGUUGCAAACUAUUUUUGUUACCCUAUUCUUUGAGAAAUAUAAAACAUCAGUAUUUCAUUGGUGAAAUGUUCUUUAUAGUAGUUUAAAUAAUAAUUGCAUACAAUCACGUGCUAUAUGUAUACUCUCCUGCAAUAAAGAAUGGCAUGAGCAUAAUUACAAGAA